UGGGGAAUUGUUCGCAAUGGGCGCAAGCCUGACGACGCAACGCCGCGUGGAGGAUGAAGACCUUCGGGUCGUAAACUCCUUUCGACCGAGAUGAAUUCCCAUCGACCUAACACGUCGAUGGGGUGACAGUAUCGAGGGAAGAAGCCCCGGCUAACUCCGUGCCAGCAGCCGCGGUAAUACGGGGGGGGCAAGCGUUGUUCGGAAUUACUGGGCGUAAAGGGUUUGUAGGUGGUCUGCUAAGUCAGACGUGAAAUCCCUCAGCUUAACUGGGGAACUGCGUCUGAUACUGGCGGACUGGAGGACAGGAGAGGAACGCGGAAUUCCAGGUGUAGCGGUGAAAUGCGUAGAUAUCUGGAGGAACACCGGUGGCGAAGGCGGCGUUCUGGACUGUUUCUGACACUGUAAAACGAAAGCCAGGGGAGCAAACGG
rnacentral:rRNA from 1 species